rnacentral:rRNA from 1 species
GACGAACGCUGGCGGCGUGCUUAACACAUGCAAGUCAAACGGAAAGGCCCUGCUUUUGUGGGGUGCUCGAGUGGCGAACGGGUGAGUAACACGUGAGUAACCUGCCCUUGACUUUGGGAUAACUUCAGGAAACUGGGGCUAAUACCGGAUAGGAGCUCCUGCUGCAUGGUGGGGGUUGGAAAGUUUCGGCGGUUGGGGAUGGACUCGCGGCUUAUCAGCUUGUUGGUGGGGUAGUGGCUUACCAAGGCUUUGACGGGUAGCCGGCCUGAGAGGGUGACCGGCCACAUUGGGCCUGAGAUACGGCCCAGACUCCUACGGGAGGCAGCAGUGGGGAAUAUUGCACAAUGGGCGGAAGCCUGAUGCAGCAACGCCGCGUGCGGGAUGACGGCCUUCGGGUUGUAAACCGCUUUCGCCUGUGACGAAGCGUGAGUGACGGUAAUGGGUAAAGAAGCACCGGCUAACUACGUG